UGUGUCAUCAAGCCUGAAGCUCUCACAAGUCUGGCUGUAAAGGCAGAGACUGCUCUGACCAACAGUUUCAACACGUGCACUGUGGUCUUAAAACAGUGAGUGGUAAUGUUUAAACAUGGGCACUCUGGGUUUAAAAACA